CAGUGGUGGUCGUCCCUUCGGGGUGCGGCCGCCCGAGAUAGAACCCUUGCUUUUUGAGUACCGCUUUGUUUCCUCGGCAGGCUCGCCUGCCAAUGGGGACCCCAACCAAACCUUUUUGUAAAGCAGUAAACGUCACUAAAUUAAUAAAAUCA
rnacentral:misc_RNA from 1 species